CCAUAUAUACAUUGUAAGGAAAAUAUUAUAUUAUGCAUGAUAUAUAAUAUUACAUAUAUCAAGUGGGAAAAACUGGAAAAAAAAUUGGGAAAAUUUAAGUAAUAUAUUACGGUUUUCUUUUUCUGUGGACAACUUUUCUACUCUCAAUCUUACUCCGAUUUACAAUAAUUGAAUGAUAGUACUUUUUUUGAAAGAAAAUUUUACUAGGAAGGUAAUUCAGGAAGAUCAUUUUUAAAUUUUUCCAGGAGUUUUCUCAAUAAAUACGAAAAACGGAAAAAUAGGUACAGUAUUAAACAAAUAAUAUUAAAGAAACUAUAUAAUACCUAUGUGCUAUGCAUAUUAUUUUACCAUAAUAUGAUAUAUAUAUAUAAGUUGUUGACAAAACAACACUAUCAACCAAAUUCCGUUCAGAAACGUUUUUUCAUUAGCAAUGGUUAAUCAUUGCUUACAGACAUACAUUAAAUAACCUACAGCAGUGAUUGCACUCGUCUCCAUUAUCCAAAGACAGCUUUUAAAUUUUGUAUUGAGAUUAGAUUAGAUUAUGUAAGUAAA